rnacentral:rRNA from 1 species
GAUGAACGCUGGCGGCGUGCCUAAUACAUGCAAGUCGAGCGAACAGGCGAGGAGCUUGCUCCUUCGACGUUAGCGGCGGACGGGUGAGUAACACGUAGGUAACCUACCUAUAAGACUGGGAUAACCUCGGGAAACCGGAGCUAAUACCGGAUAAUAUUUCGAACCGCAUGGUUCGAUAGUGAAAGAUGGCUUUGCUAUCACUUAUAGAUGGACCUGCGCCGUAUUAGCUAGUUGGUAAGGUAACGGCUUACCAAGGCAACGAUACGUAGCCGACCUGAGAGGGUGAUCGGCCACACUGGAACUGAGACACGGUCCAGACUCCUACGGGAGGCAGCAGUAGGGAAUCUUCCGCAAUGGGCGAAAGCCUGACGGAGCAACGCCGCGUGAGUGAUGAAGGUCUUCGGAUCGUAAAACUCUGUUAUUAGGGAAGAACAAACGUGUAAGUAACUGUGCACGUCUUGACGGUACCUAAUCAGAAAGCCACGGCUAACUACGUG